CCUACGGGUGGCUGCAGUGAGGAAUAUUGGUCAAUGGCCGCAGGGCUGAACCAGCCAAGUCGCGUGAGGGAUGACGGUCCUAUGGAUUGUAAACCUCUUUUGUCAGGGAGCAAAGGGCGCCACGUGUGGCGUUUUGCGAGUACCUGAAGAAAAAGCAUCGGCUAACUCCGUGCCAGCAGCCGCGGUAAUACGGAGGAUGCGAGCGUUAUCCGGAUUUAUUGGGUUUAAAGGGUGCGCAGGCGGAAUGUCAAGUCAGCGGUAAAAUUUCGGGGCUCAACCCCGUCGUGCCGUUGAAACUGGCGUUCUUGAGUGAGCGAGAGGUAUGCGGAAUGCGCAGUGUAGCGGUGAAAUGCUUAGAUAUUGCGCAGAACUCCGAUUGCGAAGGCAGCAUACCGGCGGCGAUCUGACGCUGAGGCACGAAAGCGUGGGUAUCGAACAGGAUUAGAUACCCCAGUAGUC
rnacentral:rRNA from 1 species